AACUGAAGAGUUUGAUCAUGGCUCAGAUUGAACGCUGGCGGCAGGCUUAACACAUGCAAGUCGAGCGGGGGAAGGUAGCUUGCUACUGGACCUAGCGGCGGACGGGUGAGUAAUGCUUAGGAAUCUGCCUAUUAGUGGGGGACAACAUCUCGAAAGGGAUGCUAAUACCGCAUACGUCCUACGGGAGAAAGCAGGGGAUCUUCGGACCUUGCGCUAAUAGAUGAGCCUAAGUCGGAUUAGCUAGUUGGUGGGGUAAAGGCCUACCAAGGCGACGAUCUGUAGCGGGUCUGAGAGGAUGAUCCGCCACACUGGGACUGAGACACGGCCCAGACUCCUACGGGAGGCAGC
rnacentral:rRNA from 1 species